rnacentral:lncRNA from 1 species
AUGCCCCUUAGUUCCUGCCAAGGCAGCAGCUACUCUUCCUGGGGUUUAUUAUGGAUGCCCCUUAGUUCCUGCCAAGGCAGCAGCUACUCUUCCUGGGGUUUAUUAUGGAUGCCCCUUAGUUCCUGCCAAGGCAGCAGCUACUCUUCCUGGGGUUUAUUAUGGAUGCCCAUUAGUUCCUGCCAAGGCAGCAGCUACUCUUCCUGGGGUUUAUUAUGGAUGCCCAUUAGUUCCUGCCAAGGCAGCAGCUACUCUUCCUGGGGUUUAUUAUGGAUGCCCAUUAGUUCCUGCCAAGGCAGCAGCUACUCUUCCUGGGGUUUAUUAUGGAUGCCCAUUAGUUCCUGCCAAGGCAGCAGCUACUCUUCCUGGGGUUUAUUAUGGAUGCCCCUUAGUUCCUGCCAAGGCAGCAGCUACUCUUCCUGGGGUUUAUUAUGGAUGCCCCUUAGUUCCUGCCAAGGCAGCAGCUACUCUUCCUGGGGUUUAUUAUGGAUGCCCCUUAGUUCCUGCCAAGGCAGCAGCUACUCUUCCUGGGGUUUAUUAUGGAUGCCCAUUAGUUCCUGCCAAGGCAGCAGCUACUCUUCCUGGGGUUUAUUAUGGAUGCCCAUUAGUUCCUGCCAAGGCAGCAGCUACUCUUCCUGGGGUUUAUUAUGGAUGCCCAUUAGUUCCUGCCAAGGCAGCAGCUACUCUUCCUGGGGUUUAUUAUGGAUGCCCAUUAGUUCCUGCCAAGGCAGCAGCUACUCUUCCUGGGGUUUAUUAUGGAUGCCCAUUAGUUCCUGCCAAGGCAGCAGCUACUCUUCCCGGGGUUUAUUAUGGAUGCCCAUUAGUUCCUGCCAAGGCAGCAGCUACUCUUCCCGGGGUUUAUUAUGGAUGCCUAUUAGUUCCUGCCAAGGCAGCAGCUACUCUUCCUGGGGUUUAUUAUGGAUGCCCAUUAGUUCCUGCCAAGGCAGCAGCUACUCUUCCUGGGGUUUAUUAUGGAUGCCCAUUAGUUCCUGCCAAGGCAGCAGCUACUCUUCCUGGGGUUUAUUAUGGAUGCCCAUUAGUUCCUGCCAAGGCAGCAGCUACUCUUCCUGGGGUUUAUUAUGGAUGCCCAUUAGUUCCUACCAAGGCAGCAGCUACUCUUCCCAUGGUUUAUUAUGGAUGCCCAUUAGUUCCUGCCAAGGCAGCAGCUACUCUUCCCAGGGUCUGGUCAAAUUAAGGCAGUUAUACAAUUUUAAAAACAUACAUUCAUUACAGAUUUCACAACACACUAAGUGUGUGCCCUCAGACCCCUACCACAUAUCUCCGACACAAAAUCUGUUAUCAUGUGUGUCUGUCUGUGCCUUUGUGUUGCUUCACAGUCCCUGCUGUUCCUCACUUAACCUUUAUUCAACUAGGCAAGUCAGUUAA